UUGGUGUGUAAUAUGUAGAACUUGUCUUUGAUUCUUAGUGACAAAUUAAUGAAGUAUUUUUCAUUUAAUAAAUCUUCUUAUACCCAAAUUAUAUAUAUAUAUAUAUAUAUAUAUAUAUAAAAUUCAAUCUAGUAUGUAUAAAACAAAAACGAAACAAUUACAUUUAUAUAAAUGCUAUAUUAAAAAAAACAUAACAAUUUCAAAACGUUGUUAAUAAUAUAAGUAUGACAAUAAAAAGACGCUAUUAUACAAUAUUUAAUUGCAAAAAUAUAAACGCUAUUAUAUAUUACAAUACAAUAGCAGAACAAAAAAACGCUAUAUAAAGUGUCUGACCUACGAUGACGGGCGCAUACAUAGCGCUUAUCAAAACGCUAUAAAAUAGUUAGAUAGCGUUAUUCCGACGCUACGAAAAGUCAUUUUUCUUGUAGUGUUGCACUUGCAGUAGUAACUUCAGCUCAGAAGCUUUGCCCGUAUUUUCAAUCUCACCCAAUCGAAGUGUUAUCAAAUCAACCACUUCGAACAAUCCUUCAUAGUCCGAAACAAUCUGGGAGGUUGGCAAAGUGGGCGGUGGAAUUAAGUGAGUAUGAUAUAGAGUACAAGAGCCGAGUCGCCAUGAAGGCUCAAGUUCUGGCCCAUUUUUUAACAGAGUUACCGGUACUUGGCGGACGGGAGCAACCAGAAAAUCAGACUUGGAAGUUACACGUCGAUGGGUCUUCAUCAAAAAAUAGAUCCGGGGUGGGGAUCAAAUUGGAGUCUCCCACCUCGGAAAUCCUUGAGCAAUCAUUUCGGUUAUUAUUCACUGCAUCUAAUAAUGAAGCGGAAUAUGAAGCAUUAAUUGUCGGACUCAGAUUGGCACAGGGAGUUGGAGCUGAUGAAGUGAUCGCCUACUAUGAUUCACAACUGGUUGUU
rnacentral:sRNA from 1 species